AAAUUGAAGAGUUUGAUCAUGGCUCAGAUUGAACGCUGGCGGCAGGCCUAACACAUGCAAGUCGAGCGGUAGCACAGAGAGCUUGCUCUCGGGUGACGAGCGGCGGACGGGUGAGUAAUGUCUGGGAAACUGCCUGAUGGAGGGGGGUAACUACUGGAAACGGUAGCUAAUACCGCAUAACGUCGCAAGACCAAAGUG
rnacentral:rRNA from 1 species